rnacentral:rRNA from 1 species
AGAGUUUGAUCCUGGCUCAGGAUGAACGCUGGCGGUCUGCUUAACACAUGCAAGUCGAACGGACUCUUCGGAGUUAGUGGCGGACGGGUGAGUAACGCGUGAGAAUCUGCCUCUAGAACGGGGACAACAGAGGGAAACUUCUGCUAAUCCCGGAUGAGCCGAAAGGUCGAAGAUUUAUCGUCUAGAGAUGAGCUCGCGUCUGAUUAGCUAGUUGGUAAGGUAAAGGCUUACCAAGGCGACGAUCAGUAGCUGGUCUGAGAGGAUGAUCAGCCACACUGGGACUGAGACACGGCCCAGACUCCUACGGGAGGCAGCAGUGGGGAAUUUUCCGCAAUGGGCGCAAGCCUGACGGAGCAAGACCGCGUGGGGGAGGAAAACCUUUGGGUUGUAAACCCCUUUUCUCAGGGAAGAACAAAGUGACGGUACCUGAGGAAUCAGCCUCGGCUAACUCCGUGCCAGCAGCCGCGGUAAUACGGAGGAGGCAAGCGUUAUCCGGAAUGAUUGGGCGUAAAGCGUUCGUAGGUGGCAAUUCAAGUCUGCUGUCAAAGACAGUAGCUCAACUACUGCAAGGCAGUGGAAACUGAAUAGCUAGAGUGCGGUAGGGGCAGAGGGAAUUCCCGGUGUAGCGGUGAAAUGCGUAGAGAUCGGGAGGAACACCGGUGGCGAAAGCGCUCUGCUGGGCCGCAACUGACACUGAGGGACGAAAGCUAGGGGAGCGAAUGGGAUUAGAUACCCCAGUAGUCCUAGCUGUAAACGAUGGAAACUAGGUGUUGCCUGUAUCGACCCAGGCAGUGCCGUAGCUAACGCGUAAGUUACCGCUGGGGAAGCAAAGCGUGAGUAUGUGGUUUAAUUCGAUGCAACGCGAAGAACCUUACCAGGGCUUGACAUGUCCGGAAUUCUGGGGAAACUCGGAAGUGCUUUCGGGAACCGGAACACAGAUGGUGCAUGGCUGUCGUCAGCUCGUGUCGUGAGAUGUUGGGUUAAGUCCCGCAACGAGCGCAACCCUCGUUUUUAGUUGCCAUCAUUAAGUUGGGCACUCUAGAGAGACUGCCGGUGACAAACCGGAGGAAGGUGGGGAUGACGUCAAGUCAUCAUGCCCCUUACGUCCUGGGCUACACACGUACUACAAUGGUAAGGACAAAGGGCAGCCACUUCGCGAGGAGGAGCUAAUCCCGUAAACCUUGCCUCAGUUCAGAUUGCAGGCUGCAACUCGCCUGCAUGAAGGAGGAAUCGCUAGUAAUCGCAGGUCAGCAUACUGCGGUGAAUCCGUUCCCGGGCCUUGUACACACCGCCCGUCACACCAUGGAAGUUAGCCAUGCCCGAAGUCAUUACUCUAACCUUUCGAGGAGGAGGGUGCCGAAGGCAGGGCUGAUGACUGGGGUGAAGUCGUAACAAGGUAACC